CGCUGAUCUUGUGUGCAUUUACACUAAUACUGAACUUGGCCCAGAGGAUUUUGCAUCUCAAUGAUGAGAAAUAGAGAAGCUCAGCACCCACAGUUCCCAGGCGUUUGUAGUAAUCAGGCUGGAGCAUCACGCUAUCCAGAAAUAUCGGAGUAAAACAGAUAUUUUAAUAGCGCUGAUGUUAAAGCACAGGAGCUGGAGGAGGUAGGGAGAAGUGCUUGCCAGUGGUUCGGAUGCUGCGCUGCCAGGCAGCUCACAGUCCCAGUCACGUUGCAGGCCAAACCAGAUGGGCAAGCAAUACAAGCUGUGAAUUUAUUCUUGAUCCCUGUAGGACAGUGACCACCUCCGUUUUUACCAUCACCGUACAGAUAUGCACUGUCAAUAAGUGAAAAGGUCAAGAAAAGCAGUAGCUCAGUGGCUCAAUUUUUCAGGAGUGCUUUACAGCAGGGAAAGUGGGGAGACCUCUUAUAGUGUUGUCUUAUUCAGUAAGGUAAACCUUUUGUCCUUCAGUUACUUUAUUUUUGCUAAUUUUUUGUUGAAUUUUGUUAUCACAUU
rnacentral:lncRNA from 1 species